CUGGCCAAACUUCAGGAGCCUGAAAAGUAUAUGAAAUUUUGGGAGCAUCCAAUAGGCAAAAAGUAAUAAAAUGGCAACAAAACUGAAAAAGCAUAAAAUCAAGUAUAAAGCUUAAUAAGUUAUUACAAGUAAAAAAACAAAUCUUCAAACUAUCCAGCACAGUGGAGUAAUAUGAUACUUUAAAAACUGAAAAGAAUUGCAAAGUAAUAAUUUAAAAGAUAAAUGGCGCUAACAAUGUCUAUGACAAUGUAUAAAUAUCUAAACAUUCAUGAAAGUGCAUAUAAAUAAAUAUCUGGCUUAAAAACAUUACUAAAUAUCUACUUAUUUUUAUUGAAUAUAUCAGUAAAAGAAAUAUCAAAUUACCAGUACAUGUAUUUAUAAUUGAUUAUGGAUAAACUGAUUUACCAGUAAUGCAAUACUGAAGUGUUAUCUACUAAUGUAAUAAUUUUAAUAUUUCAUUAAUUUUUAUUCUUAUGUUAUCAAGUGAUUUGUUUUACAAAAAGAUGCAUUGCUAUAGCAAUUAUUUUAAAUAUGCACUAUAAAAGCUGUUCAAUUGAAUCUGAAAAAAGAGUUAAGACAAUUUGAGGAUAAAGCUUUUAAGUUCCAAAAAAAAAUUUAUAUUAGUAAAUAUGAAUUCUUACAAUUAAUUAGUGUUUUUACUCAUUUUAAAUCAUUUUUGUAACAGGAGAAGUCAAAUUAUGUCAGCAGUUUUCUUUUUCUUACUUAAGAUUUAAAAAUUGUAUUUAAAGUUAAAGUUACUCUUAAAUUGUUUAAAAAUUUUAUUUUAAAAGUGACAUUUCUAUUUAUGUGUGAAAUCCACGAUUUUUAUGCAAUGUCGAAAAAAAAAAACCUUUGUAAACAACUCCGAUGAAAAAAACACUCUUGGUGAGAAGUAUAUCGAUUGUUCACUUUUAGACAAUUAGUCACUGACUGUUUUCAUACUUAGAUGGGAAAGUUGACACUUAAUUGAUCGGAAUGCACCAUUAGUGUCAACAGAAGUCGAUCACGUGACUCCUUUCCACGAAGCUUGAGCCCCCAGAAGUUCAGGGCGACCAAAGGAAGUUAUACUUAUCAAUGUGUGCAUCUUGUCUCCAUACACCGGACAUAGCGACCGAAAGGACAUCGCCAUAUGACAGACACUUCACACUUCCAUCGCCACUCUACAGUCCCUGUGCGACUACAAUUCAUACGGCCCAUUCAACGAACAUAUAUUAGUCAUAUCCUCAUAGAGGUAUUUGUAUUUAGAGCUUUGUGAACUCUCUCUCAGGAUAGCCGAUAGAGCUGUUAGAGCGGCCUUAGUUCUUUUGUUAGUUAACUUAUAUUUAACCACAUUUAUCCUAUGUAUUGUUAUAGCCUCCUGUAUCCUAGCUUAAUUAUUCAAAUAAAUGCUUGUUUAUUUUGUUAAACCUGUCUACUGUCGUUGAAAGGAUGCCUGUCAGCUU